UCCCUGGUGGUCCAGUGGCUAAGACUCUGUGCUCACAAUGCAGGGGGCCCGGGUUCAAUCCCUGGUCAGGGAA
rnacentral:tRNA from 2 species